ensembl:lncRNA LINC00366 long intergenic non-protein coding RNA 366
AGAAAAGGAGGCACAGAGAUGCAGAUGGAGAAUUCAGAGCAUGGAUUGCAGGCAAGUUCAGUGCAAUUCAAGCAGCCCCACAUACCAAUGCUGAGAUUUGAAGAGCUAAGCUGCUAGGAUGCACCCUGGGAAAAGGCUUGUGCAAUGCAGUCCUAGAAAAACUAAAACCAAAGCUGGACAAAUGAUCUUCUUUGUCUAUUCACAGCUCAAAUCCUAUAAAAGACUAUAUCCAAGAGUACCAGAAAAACAGCAUAGGAGCUGAAUUUCCUACAUUCGAACUACCACUCUUUACUUGAUCUUAGCCAAAAGGCUUAGAGAUGAUCUCUCCAAACCGCUCUUGUCAGAAUCUGCCUGGAGACAGGGUUUCACCAUGUUGGACAGGCUGAUCUCAAACUCCUGACCUCAAGUUGUCCACCUGCUUCAGCCUCCCAAAGUGCUGGGGUUACAAAGAGACGGGGUCUUGCUUUGUUGCCUGACUAGUCUCAAACUCCUGGCCUCAAGGAAUCCUCCUGCCUCAGCCUCCCAAAGUGCUGGGAUUACAGGACUAUGAGAAGAAAACAUAUUUUAUAAACUGCCAUGGAUGGUGUCUCUAAUGCACUCACACCUGAUCCAUGACGUGUGACACAGCUGCUCCUGAAUGGGUUCAGAUACUUGAUACUUAUGUGUAUUUUAUGUCAUCUGUCAGCAACCUGACCAGUUGUGGCUUAUGUGGCAAAUGACAGACAGAAAAUGUUUAUUGUGUCUUAACAUGUGCCUUUCGGGGAAGAUCUACUUAACAUUCAUUCAGUUAUUAAUAAAUUAGAUGGACAUUCAU